AGAUAGGGUAGAGGCAGAAGUAGACGCAAUUAAACAUGAAGGAUUGUGAAGGCAAAAGAUGAACCAGCCAGCCUAGUCUCUGGAUGCAUAAGCUCCAAGUGUGGAGGAGACCCGGAGAGAAAAGCAGACUGUUCUCUGUGUUUACCUGUAAGCACAGGCCGCAACCUGCCAUGCUGUUUUUAAAUGCCCAAGAGCUGGUGACAAGAGGGUUUCCCUUUGCCAUCUGGACCUGAUUGCCUUAGAGGCUUGGGGAGGAGGGGAGAGAGAGGAAGCUUCAAGAGUGUCUUUGUGGUUGCUGGUUGACCAGUAUAAACGGUAUUUACACAUUUAGAGUGGCAGACUCACCAGUACGUGAGAGAAUUGUCGAUGAUGCAGGCAACUUACAUGAAAUGUACCCCUCCAGCAUUCAACGCAGCAGAAUCACCUAGUAGAAGUUAUUCUCUUUCUAAUUUGUUUUCAGUUGUUUUAAUUUCAUCGAGUCUCAAGUUGGUGCUAGCCUAGGUCAUUAACACCUCCCGGACACUUGCUAACCUUGCCUUUUUUUUUUUUC
rnacentral:lncRNA from 10 species